rnacentral:lncRNA from 1 species
GAGUUGAAAGAAGGGAGCAAAUGCUUUUAAAGUUUGCUAUAAGUAUCAGUCUGUGCUCUAGUUAGCAACUAAGUUUUUCCACAUUUCUAUUAGUUUACUCAUCUGAAUAUUUGGGCUCCAUUUCCUUUUGUUUAUUGAUUAUUACAGGUUUGUCAGAAGCGUUCUCAUGUUUGUGGUGUUACUUUUAUUCUUCUCUGAGAUCUCUUACAAUGUUGCCAGUAACAACUGUAGAUUAUUUGUUUUUUUACUAAACGAUCAUAUAAUUUGAAUAUUAGGAAAACCAGAAUUUUAUCAAGAGUGGAAAAAAAAAGUUGUGUAUUUUAGGUUUUUAAUGCUGAAUUUAUUGUUCAAAAUCUGUAAGUCGAAUAAUUCUCUGAAAAAGUAGUCUUGUUUUCUUACUGUUAAAUAUUUUUAACAUUGGUAAAAUGAAGUCUGUUAACUUUGGUUAAUGUUAUAGUUAGAUUACAUUGAGGAGUCUGUUUUUUUUAUGUCCUGUGUUUGGAGUGCGGCUCUGAUGCUGAGCUGUCUGUGUGUGUUAGUAUUAAAAAUUGAUGUUACUACAGUAGCUGAUUUUUUUUUUUUCCCCCCCAAAUAGUAAAGGCAGUUUUCUUUCUAUAAAAGCUGACUUGCACAGGAAAAAAAGUUGAUUGAAAUUAAAAAGCUUAACUGAAGAAUGUAGUAUGCAAAUACCAUGUAUUUUAAUGGACAGUUUGCAGUUCUUAGGGGUGCUCAAACUUUGAGAUAAAGCAUAUGGCAUUUCUGCAGUCAGUGUAAGCUGAAUGUAAAAGCACUAUGUUUUUUUCCACAGGCAAAAACUGUGUGCCUAAUCCUACCUGGUGGUACAUAGGUUUAUGCUGUGUUGGAAUGAAGUCGUAGGAAUUUACUGCAGUGAUUCUGGGGGCAGUCAGAGUACAUUUCUAGUUUGUUGUUUGUAGCAUGUGGCACACUCCUGCUACUUGCAUCACAUCCCGUGUGCACGGUAUGACAGAACCUCUAUUGCACAGAGGCAGAACUAGAUAUAAUGAGAAAGUGCACAGAAGCAUCAAACAAAUAACUGAAAAUGAUUUACUAACUGUUUGAACUAUUAUUUAAAAUGAAGUGGGUAACUUAUGGCUGGGAUAAUAAGAUAGUAUUUUGGGGUUUUGUGGAGUACUUUUGGUUUUGCUUGUGAAUGAUUUAGGGAAACGUCACUGUAAGAUGACAAAAUUAAUGAAAAUGUUUUUUAAUUAGAGAAGCACAUUUUGAAUGCAAAACAUUUUGUUUGAAAUAAUUACUGAUACUACAAAAAUGCAUGUAGGCCUCCAUUAGUUUGAAACUUGCUGUGCCACACCUAGCACAACCAUAUGACAGAGAGAGUUUCUAAUCCUAAGAACUGAAUUUUGUGUCACUUUAAAGUGACAUAAAAUAUUGAAUAGUGUCUUCUCUGUAGCCUGGCAUGGCCUGAUCUUUAAAAUACUAGAAAGUAAUGCAAGAAGCUAUUGCAAAAAAAAAAAAA